rnacentral:lncRNA from 1 species
UAGCUGUUCAUCACCAUUACUCAAAAUUGUUUGUCCCUCCAACAGGUCAAUGGCACCAUGGUGACCAAUAGCUCACACCUGGAAGUGGUAAAGCUGAUCAAAUCUGGUGCCUCUGUCAAACUCGCCCUCCUGGGCUCUUCACCUUCAUCCGUGGGCAUCCCUGGACUUCAGCAGGACCCAUUCCCAGCAGGAGCUCCCCGAAUCACCCCAGCGAUCCCCCCACUACCACCUCCUCCACCUCUACCACCUCCACAAUGCAUCACAGGACCCAGACCUCUGCAGGGUCCCAAAGAUAAAAAACAUGCCACCCAGAUCCUCAGAAAUAUGCUGAGGCGGAAAGGAAAAGGAUUACAGGUAACCCCACUGCCAGCGGUAGGCUGGCCAUUGCUGAGUGAAAUAAACUUUCUCAGAGCAGCCACUGCCAACGUGCACAACUUCAUUUACAGGCAAUAUCCCAUCACAGUAAAACCGCAAAAAAUGAAACAUCCGGACCACUAAAGAAUGACCAUUGGCCGGUAGAAUUUAUUAAAGCGGAACUUUACUAGUAGAAUGAAUAGGAUUCUCCAUGUGUAAUAGGUUAGGAUAGUGAAUAUGUAGACCAAAAAAGGUCAAUGGAGUUUAUCUGGGACAUUUCCAAGGAAAGGAAGGGAAAGAGAGAAGAAAGGAAGGGGCAGGUGAGUCCUGGGCCAGCCUGAUAGAGGUGGGGAGCACUUGGAUGAAGGAUGAAGAGAGUUUUCAGGCCUAGAAGUGAUGUGCACAGAGAACAGUAAGUAGAUUAAUUUGCUGGAGUAGAAUAACCAGAUUCCUAUUACAGCCAUACAUGUAAGUGCCGCCGUAUACAGAACAUGGUUGGCCAGGCGUGAGUGGCUCACACCUGUAAUCCAGCACUUUAGGAGGCUGAGGUGGGCAAAUCACAAGAUCAAGAGAUCAAGACCAUCCUGGCCAACAUGGUGAAAUCCCGUAUCUACUAAAAAUACAAAAAUUAGCCGGUCGUGGUGGUGCAUGCCUGUAGGCCCAGCUACUUGGGAGGCUGAGGCAGGAGAAUCACUUUGAACCCAGGAGGUGAAGGUUUUAGGGAGCCGAGGUUGCACCACUGCACUCCACCCUGGCAACAGAGUGAGACUCUGUUCAAAAAAAAAAAAAAUUGUUUUAUUUUCUAGGCUAUAUAGAAAUGGAAAAGAUUCUGGUUCUUCCCCUCAACAUGUUUAAAAUCUAAUGGAGGAAAUUUAAAUUACAGUAGGAGAGAGAGUGGGAGGAACAAAGAGCUUACAAUAAGAGAACAAAGGAGAGCACAAUUAAGUACUAAUGGGAA